UUGGGGCGGAGGCUCUCGCGCACGUCAUUCCUCCCAUUUCUACUACCUUCCCACGCAACCAUCGGCCAUUUUACAAAGCAAGCGUUCAGAGUGCAGCUUAUCCACUCCUCGUCGGCAUUUAUCGUUAGUUUUGAAUAUAGUGCAUUAUUUAAUCUGAUCUAUCACCUUCAAAAGGCUUUUAAACUGUUUUUCUGUCCGCUUGUGUGAAAAUGUCUCGUGACCGCUCCCGUAACCGUGGAGGAUUCCAGCACCGAGGCCGCGGAGGAAUGGGGAUGCGUGGUGGAAUGGGAAACCCUAACUUUAGAAAUCAAAACCAGCAUCCUUAUCAAAACCGAGGACCCCAUAUGGGUGGCGGAUUUAAGCCGAAUCAGGGAAAUCAGCCCAGCCAGGCCUCUACACCACAGAAGCCACAGGAAUCCACUCAGAACAAGCCAGUAGUCCAGUCACCUCCGGCGCAAGGCCCUGGUCUGGCCCAGCAGAGCAACAACAAAGGCCCUUCGCCACAGCAGACCGCCAUCGCCGCUCCGCCGCAGAUCCAGUCUCCACCGCCACAAAAGAUCCAGUCCCCACCGCCACAGAAGAUCCAGUCUCCACCACCACAGAAUAAUGCGAAGAACCCAGACCUCGGUUCUCCACAGAACCAGCUCAGAAAGAACCAACCAAAAGGUGGGAUGGGGAAUGGUCAAAAACCGCCUGCUCCCGUGCAGAAAGAACCGGAAAAGACAGUACCACCGCAACAACAGAGUACCACGAGCAACGAGGGCAUUCAGCCUCAGGAGUUGAAGGCAACGCUAUCUUUGCUGCGCAAGCCUGGAGAGAAAACCUAUACUCAGCGCUGUCGUCUGUUUAUUGGGAACCUACCAAACGACAUCACUGAAACCGAAUUCAGGAAAUUGUUUGCAAAGUAUGGGGAGCCCAGCGAGAUUUUCAUCAAUCAAAGCAAAGGUUUUGGAUUCAUCAGACUGGAAUCCCGUGCAUUGGCAGAGGUUGCAAAAGCUGAGUUGGAUGAUAUUCCCAUGAAAGGCAGACCUCUCAGAGUUCGUUUUGCCACUCAUUCUGCUGCACUUUCUGUGCGCAACUUAUCUCCAUUUGUGUCCAAUGAGCUGCUGGAAGAGGCCUUCUCUCAGUUUGGAGUAGUGGAGAGGGCUGUAGUUAUUGUAGAUGACCGUGGCCGCUCAACAGGGAAAGGCAUUGUUGAGUUUUCUUCCAAACCAGCUGCACGGAAGGCUAUCGAUCGUAUCAGUGAUGGAGUGUUCCUUCUCACAUCGUCACCCCGUCCGAUUGUGGUUGAAUUGUUAGAGCAAUAUGAUGAUGAGGAUGGUUUGCCAGAGAAGCUUGCACAGAAGAACCCCAGUUAUCAGAAGGAGCGAGAUCAGCCUCCUCGGUUCGCCCGUCCUGGCACCUUUGAGUUUGAAUACUCCCAGCGAUGGAAGUCCCUUGAUGAGAUGGAGAAACAACAGAGGCAGCAAGUAGAGAAAAACAUUCGUGAGGCCCGUGAGAAGCUAGAAGCAGAGAUGGAAGAUGCUUAUCAUGAGCAUCAAGCGAACAUGCUCAGACAGGACCUUCUUAGACGUCAAGAGGAACUUCGUCGUAUGGAAGAAAUGCACAGUCAGGAGAUGCAGAAACGUAAAGAAAUGCAACUCAGACAGGAAGAGGAACGCCGCAGGAGAGAGGAGGAGAUGAUGCGGCAGAGGGAAAUUGAAGAUCAGAUGAGGCGCAAACGUGAGGAGUCUUACAGAAUGGGUGGCUUUAUGGAUAAUAGAGACAGGGAGAUGAGAAUGAAUUCUAGUGGAGGCCUUGGAUUGGCUGAUAUGCCGUUUGGGUCACCUAGCCAGAAGUUCCCAUUGGCAGGAAUGAAUUUUGAAGGACACCAAGGAAUGGGGGGACAAGCAUCAGGGGGCAUGGUGUCCAACGAAAUGGGGCCUCAGGUGAUUGAAGGAGGUUAAGAAGCAUCAUACAGUUUCAGAAAUGGAUCAACCGAGGAACCUGUGAACUAAUGACUUGUUCAGCAGUAGAUGUUCCUGUACAGCGGACGAUAAUAUGCAGUCCUGUGGGAGUGAGACGUACAGAUGAGACGUGGCAGCAGGGAAAUCUUUACUGCAGCACUGGAUGCAUCAUGACUGUUGUCCGAAACGCUCAAGUCUUUUUGUGAGAUGUAAGAUGACAACGGAACGAGGGAAAGGGAGACCGGGAGGGAGAAUUUGGUGGUGUGCGACCAAUGGGCUUGCCUGAUGUAUUUUUAAUGUGCAUGAAUGAUUGAUCACUGUAUGCGGACACAUGCACCCCUGAGGGGCGGCUGCAGUCCGUCUGGUGCAGACAUGAGUGCAACCACGAGACCUUCGGGGCUGAGCGUGAACACUGUGGAGUUAAAGCAUCAGUGGGCAAUGCAGAGAAAUCGCACUCUGGUCCGGACGUACCUGCUCUCCAGCUCUGUGCUCCCACUUCCUGGCUCACGGAGCAGAGAUGAUUUCAGGCUUCCAUCAUUGUCCAGAUCAACACAUGGUCGGACCACCAUGGUGCCUCUCAGUAUCAGCGAGCCUUCCCUGUUCACCCCAGGCCAGAGGGCGGUUUUCGAGGGGUUUUCGAAAAACCACCACCCCCUUUUACUCAAAAGCGGCCCAUCUCUUUCCUCCUGUGAGACCCCUGAGAACACAAAGACGCAUCAGCAGAGCUAUCAUCAAGUGUACAUGCAUUUCUCUCAGCCUCUGAGGCCUGUACCAAAGGUUACACAAACCAUUAAUCGCAGUCAGCGGCGGUCCACAGAGAGCAGAGGCUUACAGCCGUUAGUGAGGCAGUGCAGGCAGCCUGUAAACCUUGAGACUUUAUCUGUCAGAGGAAAGACUUGCCUCCCCACCCGGCAUUUACCUGAUGCUUCAUCUGCCACGUCUCGUACUCAGCUGCAUGUGUUCUUGCCUGCAGAGGGCGCUGGACGGGAGGAAGACAGAGACAGUGAGUCAGUCGAUGAGGGUUUCAUGGAUGAGCUGGAUAGCAAAUUCUCCACAGUGAGGCUUCAACAAGAUCCAAAGAAACCCAAACAGUGUGGUUUAGAAAAGUCACUGACAGGUGAAAUGGUACGAUUAACAUCUUAGUGUCAUCAUUGUUGGGUGUAAUUCAUUACUGAACUAAUUACUGUAAUUUAAUUAGGCUACUUUUCCCUUAAAAAAGUAAAGGGAUUACUCUUGAUUUUUCUGUAAUGUAACUAAUUACAGUUACUUCAGAUGUAAUUGCAUUGAACACUGUAUAGACUAUACAACUAUAUUAAACAAUAGUGGAUUUAACAUCAAAACUACAUGUUAAAAUGUCUGUUUUUAACGUAACCUUCUCCCUUUACAGACUUCGGUCAGUUGUUUAUUUGAAAAAAUUAAAAGUGCAGUUUCAUAUCCUUGUAUUGUUCAACUGGUCGAGGUUGAUGUAAAGUAAUUAAGUAAUCCAAUACUUUUUUACACUGCUGAAGAUGUAUGCAGCUAGCAAUUAAUUACUUUUUUUAGAGUAACUUACCUAACACUGAAUGUCAUGCCUUUAUUUUAGCAUUUCAUAUUUUGCAACAUCAGAUAAAUACAGAAAUGACAAAUGUUUCCUCUCAAUGUGUGUUGUAAUGUAUGUCAUUAUAAUAAAACAAAAUUAUGAUGAAA